ACGGCUCAGUAACACGUGGAUAACCUGCCCUUGGGACCGGCAUAACCCCGGGAAACUGGGGAUAAUUCCGGAUAACGCAUAUUUGCUGGAAUGCUUUAUGCGUCAAAAGGAUUCGUCCGCCCAAGGAUGGGUCUGCGGCCUAUCAGGUAGUAGUGGGUGUAAUGUACCUACUAGCCAGCGACGGGUACGGGUUGUGAGAGCAAGAGCCCGGAGAUGGAUUCUGAGACAUGAAUCCAGGCCCUACGGGGCGCAGCAGGCGCGAAAACUUUACAAUGCGGGAAACCGUGAUAAGGGGACACCGAGUGCCAGCAUCAUAUGCUGGCUGUCCGGAUGUGUAAAAUACAUCCGUUAGCAAGGGCCGGGCAAGACCGGUGCCAGCCGCCGCGGUAACACCGGCGGCCCGAGUGGUGAUCGUGAUUAUUGGGUCUAAAGGGGCCGUAGCCGGUUUGGUCAGUCCUCCGGGAAAUCUGAUAGCUCAACUAUUAGGCUUUCGGGGGAUACUGCCAGACUUGGAACCGGGAGAGGUAAGAGGUACUACAGGGGUAGGAGUGAAAUCUUGUAAUCCCUGUGGGACCACCUGUGGCGAAGGCGUCUUACCAGAACGGGUUCGACGGUGAGGGACGAAAGCUGGGGGCACGAACCGGAUUAGAUACCCGGGUAGCCCCAGCCGUAAACGAUGCUCGCUAGGUGUCAGGCAUGG
rnacentral:rRNA from 1 species